GCCCGGGUUUGCGGGAACAAAGCAGCGCCCUGCGGAAGGCAGCCCUCGUGAACUCAGAAGUUAGUUUUCGUCUCUGGACCUUUUUAUAAUCGGACUUCAGCCCAUCACUGUCUCGUUUUGUCCUCAGAAACGGCGACAGCAGCCUCUUCCCAAUGUUGAGAGCAAAAAGUGUGAACCCAGAAAUUCCGAGACAGAUCUCAAUUACUUGCCAAGGUUGAGGACGCGCGCGUGACAGCCUCAGGAAGUCCUCACGACAUGUGCCCAAGGUGGUCUGGGCAUAGCUUAGUUUUAUACAUUUUAUGGAGACAUGAGACAUCAAUAAAUGUAUGUAAGAAGUACAUUGGUUCUGUUUGGAAAGGCGGGGCAACUUGAAGCAAAGGCAGGAAGACGUGAAGCAGGAAGGGGGCUUCCAAGAAACAGAAGUCUUUUUCAAAACAAGGCCCCAGGACUCUCCAGAUUCAAUUAUGUCCUUGGGCUUGGUCGACUGCUGCAGGAGUCUUAAGGAGCCUUGUGCAAAUGCUAGAGUGACUCAUUUACCAACAUUAAACCCUAGGAUAGAUGCAACAGAGAAGUACUACUUCCUCCAUGGAAUGUGCUGAUUUCAGGCGACGUGGCACCCAAUGUAGAAAACGCUGGAAUUUUUCCUUGGAACUGGACUGUGAUGAGAGGUGCUUGCCAUGAACAUAAGCUACUGUCUUUUUUUUCUUUUUUUGAGACGGACUUUCACUUUUUUUGCCCAGGCUGGAGUGUAAUGGCGCGAUCUUGGCUCACCGCAACCUCCGCCUCCCAGGUUUGAGUGAUUCUC
rnacentral:lncRNA from 1 species